CCUGCAUUCUAAUCCCUUUCUGCGUCCUCCUGGUUCUCUUUUUGAUCUCCCACGUCUGUCCCCUCCUCCUUCUAACACCCACCGUACUAUACCCCGCUUUGGAAGCACCUAUUUUCUAAGAAAAUCUUGAGGAAUUUUUUGGAGGCAUUACGUCUUUUUUUGUUUUGAAACUUUUGGAUUGUAAGGAAAACCAGCUGCAGACCAAGCCAGAGGCCCCAGCUCUGCCCCAUCAGCAGAAGGACAGCUGUCUCUAAGGGCAGGACAAGGACCCCCGCCUUGCAGAGGCCAUGGCAGACUGUUUUGUGACAAGGCCGUUGGGGGACAGAUGGAGCUGACAUCCUCCAGAAAUUAGGCUUCAGUCUUUCAGCUGCACUCCUCUUCCUUCAAAAUCGUGGCAAGGAGACGCCUAUUCCCCCGGCGUACUCACGGACCAGCGAGAGCCACUGGGAGAUGCAUCACUGGAUCCCAUCUAAGCACUUUUUGUUCCAUCUCUCUGUGACCAGAGUAUUGUACCACAAUCCCAGUUGUUUGCAAUAAAUGGCUUGUCUUGAUUUUCCAGAUUAUAGCUAGAAGAUUGCCUCAAACGAUGAACUGUAGAAUGGAGCAGGAUGUCUGUGUGUCUGCGUCUUCAUCUGGGUUUUUCAGGCCACUGUGUCUGUGAACUUAGCUCCAUGAAAGCAAGAAGGCUAUGAGAAUUCCGCCAGGGACAAGCCUGGCCUUGGCGCUUCACUGUCCUAGCGUGUGUCUGGCCCUCCCGUUCCUGGCCAAGGCCCACAGCCACCACAGAUGACCUGCUGAUGCCUUUGCUGAAAUCAGUGGCCACUGGCCAACAGCUUGGCAAGAGUGUCAGCUCCCUCCCGACACGAAAUCAGAGGAAAACGCCUCUAGUUUCCAAGAAGCACACAGGGAGCUACUUCUUUACCGCUUGCUCCUGCAGGGUUUCGCUCCCCGAGCCCCGCUCUGCAGGUGCUGGUUUGCCUUCUGAGCCCUGUCCUAACGACACCCUGCGCGUCGCCUCCUGAUGGGCUUUCACAUGCAAGAGACACCGGAGCUGCCAUAACCUUGAGUGGACGUGAGCUUGGCCAGAUUUCACUGUCCAAAUGCCAGGACCCAGGGCCCCGGGGAGGUCCCUGGUGCAUGCGGCUGUGCUCUUGGAGGAUCUUGAUCACUCCGGCACAUUCCUUGCAGCAGUCUGCACUUGGAACAGCAUUUGAUGUGGAAGGAAACACUAGUAUAAUAUCAAGGUGAGGAGACUGAGGCAGAAAGAGGCUGAAGGAUGUGCCCAAGGGAACAGAAGUCAUGAGUAGCAGAGCUGGGCUUGCUAAACAUCGUGUGGUCUUCAAGCUCAGGUCCAUCGGCACUGGAACAAGCCAGGGUAUUAGUUGAGUUCACAGUAGGUCAUGUCAUUUUCCUGCCAAAUUAUCUCAGUCUGGGUACAAAUAAAAUCUCAAUCUGC